CCCCUCCUUCCUCGCUCGAUUCCUCCCCCUCCUCACAAACAGAGGCGCCUCCUCCUCUACUCUAUCCCUAACCCUAACCCAAGGCGACGGCGCCGUUGACCGCGGCUCUCCCUUCACCGACGGCGCCAUCUCUUCCGAGUCCGAGCUGGAGGAGCACAUCUACGUCGGGGAGGCAGCAAGGCCAGCACGCCGUCGGUCCGUCCUUGCCUGGUUCCUCACCGAGCGCCACGAAGAGGAAAAGAUUGCAAGAUAAACUGAUGAUGCAUGGCUCGGAUGUUGUGCAAGGUCGAGAGUGGGGAUGCUACUUAGAUAAUUAGAAUGCCAUUUUUAGGAUUAAUGUUUCAAACAUUAUUUUUUAGAAUGGCUAAUAAGUUGAUGCAAGGUUGAGAAUUUGCUACUUCUCCAUACUAGAUGGUUUCACAUCUUGUAAACUUCGGAUCAUGUUCUUUGUAAUGCAACAUAUUUGAUUUAAUAUAUGAGAAAUUUUUGUUCA